rnacentral:rRNA from 1 species
CGCGUAGGCGGCUUGGCAAGUCAGAUGUGAAAGCCCCGGGCUUAACCCGGGAAUUGCAUCUGAAACUGCCUUGCUUGAGUCCUGGAGGGGGUAGUGGAAUUCCCAGUGUAGCGGUGAAAUGCGUAGAUAUUGGGAGGAACACCUGCGGCGAAGGCGGCUACCUGGACAGUGACUGACGCUGAGGCGCGAAAGCUAGGGGAGCGAACG